GCGGGCGUCGUUCAAUGGCAGGACUUCAGCUUCCCAAGCUGAUAACGUGGGUUCGAUUCCCAUCGCCCGCUCCA
rnacentral:tRNA from 1 species